rnacentral:RNase_P_RNA from 3 species
UGAGCUGGCCAGGCGACCGCGUGGCUCCCUCGGGGGCCCCGAGGAACGUCCGGGCUCCGUAGAGCAGGGUGAUGGCUAACGGCCACCCGGGGUGACCCGCGGGACAGUGCCACAGAGAGAAGACCGCCACGUUCCUUCGGGGGCGGGGUAAGGGUGAAAGGGUGAGGUAAGAGCUCACCGCGCGACUGGUGACAGGAGCGGCAAGGUAAACCCCACCCGGAGCAAGACCAGACAGCAUGCGUUCGAGGGCUGCUCGCCCGAGCAUGCGGGUAGGUUGCUUGAGCGCUGGAGCAAUCCAGGGCCUAGAUGGAUGGUCGCCCCUCGUUCCCGGUGACGGGUGCGAGAGACAGAACCCGGCGUAUCGGCCAGCUCAUCCG